GGACUCCAUCCCGGGACUCCAGGAUCAUGACCUGAGCCGAAGGCAGUCGCUUAACCAACUGAGCCAGCCAGGCGCCCCAACAUUCAUCUGUAUUAAUUCAUCUGCGCUCAUUCACAAAAGGUGAAUUCUUUUUUUUUUAAGAUUUUAUUUAUUCAUUUGUCAGCAGAAGCAGGGGGAGCAGCAGGUUCCCUUCUGAGCAAGAAUUCUGAUGCGGGAGACAAUUCCAGGACCCUGGGAACAUGACCUGAACUGAAGACAGGUGCUUAAUGACUGAGCCACCCAGGUGCCCCAAAAGAAUGAAAAGCUAAAUCUUAAGAGUGGUGUUGAUUGAGAGCUUCAUUCAAUCUGGUAUAUACUCACCAAGAAAUGCUAAAUGGAGCCUCUGCAUGUGCUUAAUGGGGCACCCCAGUAUAGGAUAAGGAUUGAGAUUGAAGACUGAAGACUGAAGCCAGAUGCCUGGAUUAGAAAGUUUAUGUUGCAUUUCCUGGUGAGACUUGGGCAAUUUACUUAACUUUCUUGGCCGAGCUUUUUCAUUUAUAGAAUAGAGAUAAUACUAGUAUGUACCUUAUAAGGUUGCUGAGAAUAUUAAAUGAGUUAUUACAUAUAAAGUGCUUAGAACACCCCCACGAUGGUAAAUUCUUAAUAAAUAUUAGCAGUUAUUACUAUUAGCAGCAGAUUUUGCUUGUGUCAUUUCACCCAAGGCUAAUAUUUCCCACCAACUCUAUCCCACCUCCUUCCAUCUGGUGAUCUUUUAAUAAGAUGAUCUCAUUUUUCCCACCAGCAUAUUGAACAGCAUUCUCUCUACUGGCCCUUCUUUUAGAAUUAUAAACAUGAUCAAGAACCUCCCACUUAAAAUCUACCCUUAUUGUGAGCAUCUCUUUUUCUUUCUUAUUUUAUAAUCAAAUUUAUUAAAAGUCCACACUGGAACCUCCAUGUUCUUCUAUUUUCCCUUCAUUCCUCAAACUAUCGCAAUCUUCUACUUGACCACAUCAUGUCACAAAAUUGUUUUUACCAAGUUCAACUGUUUUCAAAAUGCCUCUCCUAUGUUUUUCCAUUGUAUCCCAAAGCCUCUUGACUACCUUAAAAUCAUAACUUUUUCAACACUUCAUAUCCCCUCUAACAUAGUAUAAUUUUUACUUAUUUAUUUUGUUUAUAUCUGUUUUCCCUGGUUAGAAUGUAAAAUCAGGGAGAACAGGAAUUUGUCUCCUUUGUUUAUUGCUAUAUCCUGAUCACCUAAAAAAAAUGCUGGAACAUCAUAGGCACUCACUAAAUAUGCAUUGAAUGAAUGAACACUGAAUUGUGAUUAUUUAUUUUUCUGUCUUCUAUUUUAGACCAGGAGCUACUUUGAAGACUGGAACUGUUCCUCCUAUCUCUUUACUAGCCCUGUUAGCUCAGAGCCUGGCCCAAACGGGAGUGUGAAUAUCAUGGGUUCAUGGGGAGUCACUAUGGUUCCUGUAUUUUCGGCAAAUGCUUCUGGAGAUACUCCAAGGCCUGAGAAAGCAGAUUUUAAAUUCUAUUCUGCAGUCCUAGAGCUCCAAUGAGCUAGUAUGAUUUUGCAAACAAUGGAGAUUUAAGUUGCCUAAAGAAACUGUAUUAGUGGGCGCCUGGGUGGCUCAGUUGUUAAGCAUCUGCCUUCGGCUCGGGUCAUGAUCCCAGGAUCCUGGGAUCAAGUCCCACA